AUGUCUGAGGAGUGGGAGGAAUUAUUUCCCCUGGUUUCUAUUAGGAAAUUGGUUCGUGAGAUUUCGGACCAUAACCCUUUGCUGAUUAACUCUAGGGAAGAGCAGCGAGAGGCUCCCAAACCUCGCGAAUUUCGUUUUGACCUUUCUUGGGUCAAGGACGAACGCUUUCUUCCUUUGGUCAGUAAAAUCUGGGCUCCCCAUCGAUAUCCUGAAUAUUAA
rnacentral:rRNA from 1 species